rnacentral:rRNA from 1 species
GCAUAUCAAUAAGCGGAGGAAAAGAAAAUAACAAUGAUUCCCCUAGUAACUGCGAGUGAAGAGGGAUAAGCUCAAAUUUUAAAUCUGUUAGGUUCACCUAACCGAGUUGUAAUUUGAAGAAGCGUUUUCGCGUGUUUUGAUCAGCUCAAGUUCCUUGGAAUGGGGCAUCAUGGAGGGUGAGAAUCCCGUUCGGUUGAUCAAUUGCGUAUGUGAUACGUUUUUAAAGAGUCAAGUUGUUUGGGAUUGCAGCUUAAAAUGGGAGGUAAAUUUCUCCUAAGGCUAAAUAUUGGCGAGAGACCGAUAGCGAACAAGUACCGUGAGGGAAAGAUGAAAAGCAUUUUGAAAAGAAAGUCAAAUAGUACGUGAAAUUGUUGAAAGGGAAACGAUUGAAGUCAGUCGUACCGAUGAGUAUUCAGCCUUUUGGGUGCGAUUAUGUGGUACAUGAAAAGAUUUCGUGAAUCGCAUAUUUGUGCAUUUUGGGUGUAUUUGCUCGCAUGGUAUGUCAACAUCAAUUUUGGUCGUCAUAAAAUGACGGGAGGAAUGUAGCUUCCCCGGAAGUGUUAUAGCCUCUGGUAGAUGUGAUGGCCGGGAUUGAGGAUUGCAACGAAUACCCUUUGGGCUACCUGUCUGAUCUCUGGUCGUCACUUUGGUGCUGAAAGCGUGCUUAUGGUUUCAAAGUUAGGUGGCCAAAAGGUUAGAACGGGUUAAAUUCGUUAAGGAUGUUGACGUA